GGGUCUUGAUUAGGCCCAGAGGCGCAAUGAAAGUGAAGGUCGACCUCGACGUCGGCUGUGUUGGGAUUUCUCGCCUCUCGGGGCGGGGAAGCACCAACGACCCGUCCUAUCCGAUUUAUCGGUUGGGCGGAGUUUGAGCGUACACGUUGGGACCCGAAAGAUGGUGAACUAUGCCUGGGCAGGACGAAGCCAGAGGAAACUCUGGUGGAGGUCCGUAGCGGUUCUGACGUGCAAAUCGAUCGUCAGACCCGGGUAUAGGGG
rnacentral:rRNA from 1 species